rnacentral:rRNA from 1 species
AAUGAACGCUGGCGGCAUGCCUAACACAUGCAAGUCGAACGAAAACACGAGGAGCUUGUGCCCCUGAGGGUGGCGGGUGACGGAUGAGUGACACAUGGAUAGCAUACCUCUCUGACGGGGGUGACAACGGGGGACAACAUCUAAUACCGGAGAAUAUAUCGAACCGGAUAGAGCAAGAGUUCAAGACGCUUUUGCUGACAGUAAGAGCCGAUGCCGGGUCGGAUUAGCUGGUUGGUAAGGUAACGGCUUACCAAGGCUACGAUGCUUAGCCGAUCUGAGAGGGUGAUCGGCCACCCUGGAACUGAGACACGGUCCAGACUCCUACGGGAGGCAGCAGUAGGGAAUCUUCCGCAAUGGGCGAAAGCUUGACGGAGCAACGCCGCGUGAGUGAUGAAGGUCUUCGGAUCGUAAAGCUCUGUUGUUAGGAAAGAACAAAAGCGUGUUUAACCACGCCCGUCUUGACGGUACCCAAAGAGUAAGCCCCGGCUAACUACGUG